rnacentral:rRNA from 1 species
UACGUAGGGUGCGAGCGUUGUCCGGAAUUAUUGGGCGUAAAGGGCUCGUAGGCGGUUUGUCGCGUCGGGAGUGAAAUCCACUGGCUUAACUGGUGGCUUGCAGGCGAUACGGGCAGACUUGAGUACUGCAGGGGAGACUGGAAUUCCUGGUGUAGCGGUGAAAUGCGCAGAUAUCAGGAGGAACACCGGUGGCGAAGGCGGGUCUCUGGGCAGUAACUGACGCUGAGGAGCGAAAGCGUGGGUAGCGAACAGG